rnacentral:rRNA from 1 species
AUUGAACGCUGGCGGCAGGCCUAACACAUGCAAGUCGAGCGGAGCGGCGGACGGGUGAGUAAUGCCUAGGAAUCUGCCUGGCAGUGGGGGAUAACGUCCGGAAACGGGUGCUAAUACCGCAUACUCUCAGAUGAGACUAGGUCGGAUUAGCUAGUUGGUGGGGUAAAGGCCUACCAAGGCGACGAUCCGUAACUGGUCGGAGAGGAUGAUCAGGCACACCGGAAGUGAGCCACGGUCCAGACUCCUACGGUAGGCAGCAGUGGGGAAUAUUGGACAAUGGGCGAAAGCCUGGUCACGCCAUGCCGCGUGUGUGAAGAAGGUCUUCGGAUUGUAAAGCACUUUAAGUUGGGAGGCGUUACCAACAGAAUAAGCACCGGCUAACUUCGUGCCAGCAGCCGCGGUAAUUC